GAAGUGGGUAAGGAGUAGGAGCAGUACAGAGAUGAUCCAUGCAGGUCCCGGAAUAGCCGUUCUUUGGCAGGCUUUGUGGAAGAGCAGCCAAUCAGGUUUUCCUGGGACUCCUGGAAACUUUCUAAACUCUGUGCUGGCGUGCUGGCCAGUCUCCAGCAGAAGGAAGGAAAGCCUGUGAGGUCUGGUUGAUUGGGGACAGGAGUGUCACAACCCCAGCCUUACACGGUCAUGAAGAUGCCACUUUGAUGUUUCCCCAACUGACCUGAGGAGGUAGAAUACACUCUUUAAUAGGCCAACUCAGACUCCCUCCCUUAGCUGCUGCAAGAAGCUAGAGAGAGCUUGAAGUGAAUGACAAUUUGGAGAAACAGCCGCAGCCUGAAGAUCUAAGAGGCUCUAAAGAAGAUGGAUAAGAAAAUCGAUGCAUAAUAAAAGCUGCAGGCAAAGCCACCUUGACACAG